CCCUCCGCUUUUUUUUUAUAUAUCCUUAUCGUUAAAAUGGCGACAUUCCGUUAGUGCCAUAGACGUCUUUGAACUUUGACCCUCAAUUCACGCAAACGUCACAGGCAGAAGUCAUUAGCUAGGCACAUUGUACGACACUCAGUGUUUGUAGACAUCGACUCGUAAUAGUAGUGCUUUUGGACUUUGGGAUAGGGAUUUUUUUUUAAUGGUAAACUACGGUGAUGCCCGGUCUAAGACACUGGGGCCACAUCUGGCCCCAUAACACAUUGCUACCCUGGCCCAGAGUGCAUGAAAGAGACAUGUUUUUUUUUUUACGGGGGAAGGGGGUAUUAAAUUGGUCCGAGACCCGCUUGUCGCAAAAUUCUAAGGCCCCUUCCCCCAUGGAUGAAAUAAUGGGAAUCAUUGGACUAACAGAACUGAUGCAUGGUUUACCAACAUUACAUGGCAAAAUUUCAUUUUUUUAAAAUAUAGAGACUCUUCAUUCACAGUGGAAAUUUCAUAAAUCACCAGCUGAAGAGUAAAAACAACUAUUGAUAUUUUAUUUUUAACACCAUUGGCGGCUUAUUGAGUUUGAAGUUCAGUUUCUGUGUAGAAUAAAAUUUGUCGGCGUGUAUAUAUCUUUAUUGUUUUAUUGUAGAGAUAUCAGUUGGUUACAAAUAAACUAAGGUUAAUUAUCAAUAAC